rnacentral:rRNA from 1 species
AACGAACGCUGGCGGCAUGCCUAACACAUGCAAGUCGAACGAGACCUUCGGGUCUAGUGGCGCAUGGGUGCGUAACGCGUGGGAAUCUACCCUCAGGUUCGGAAUAACUCAGAGAAAUUUGAGCUAAUACCGGAUGAUGACGUAAGUCCAAAGAUUUAUCGCCUGAGGAUGAGCCCGCGUAGGAUUAGGUAGUUGGUAAGGUAAAGGCUCACCAAGCCGACGAUCCUUAGCUGGUUUGAGAGGAUGAUCAGCCACACUGGGACUGAGACACGGCCCAGACUCCUACGGGAGGCAGGAGUGGGGAAUAUUGGACAAUGGGCGAAAGACUGAACCAGCAAUGCCGCGUGAGUGAUGAAGGCCUUAGGGUUGUAAAGCUCUUUUACCCGGGAUGAUAAUGACAGUACCGGGAGAAUAAGCUACGGCUAACUACGUG